GUUGAAGAAUAACCAUCCUCGGGCCUUCGGAUGAGGUCGGAGGAUGAAAAAAACUCAAAAAAGAGAAGGACGAGGUUUAGUCUGUAGCAACCGACACAACAAGGCAAAACUAAUUAUCAAUCGGAUCGAGCUUGGUGCCAGCUGAGCCGGGCAAAGUCCGUAGUAAUCCAAAAUAUUUCGGAUAAAUUUUAAAAUUAAAAAUUAAAAAUCUGUCCGAAGAUCUUCGACAUAAAAGGCCACC
rnacentral:lncRNA from 1 species